rfam:Octopus bimaculoides Scaffold17927_contig_55, whole genome shotgun sequence.
GGCAGUUUAGUUUAAUGGUAAAACACUUGACAUGUAAUUACAGAGAUGUGAGUUCAAGUCUCAUGGCUGGCCA